AGUGCUGAUUAGAAUAUGUCUUAUUGUUUUGCAUACAUGCUUUCAUUUGUUAUAAGAUACAUGUAUUGGCUUCAAUAUUGUUUAAAUUAGGGUUUGGAUCUAUUGUUUUUAAUAGUCAAUAUUUAACUGUCAAUUAUAAUUACUCUCAUAGUAAGAAACUUAAGUAACAUUAUAUUUCUUUAUUUUGUAAAAGUAGGUCAAAUUUAUGUAUUUUCAUAUACACUUGUUAGUGAAGUUUUAUUAAAAUUAACACUAAUGUAUGAACUUUAUAAUUUCAGUUUCUUUACUGAUGCUUUGUAUCUUGGUCAUUUUGUUUUGUUUAAUUAGGACUUGUACUUUAAGGUGAUUAAGUUCAAAGAUAUAGCUUUUUUGUCUUGGGUUUAAUAUGUGAAUCUCUAUAUAUGCUGUUGUAUUAGGUUAAAAAUUUGGUAUUAGAAUACCAGACGGGGAGUGUACUGGAACUGAAGUUCCAUGUUUGUUUUCUAUUAUCUUUAUUCAGUAUUAAGUAAUGUUUUCUUGUUUAAAUUUGAUAAUUUGAAGUUACACUCGGGGCUAAGUUUUACUGGUUAUUUACAGACCACUGUCGAUUUGUUAACUGUUGAGUGCAACUCGUUUGUUUUGGUUUUUUGACGUUCCGUCGUGUCGGGUGCGCUCUGCACCACGAGUCUAAAACAAGCAAAUUCUAGUCCUAUAGCCCCUCACAGUUACCUUCCACAAGACUCAUUGAUCCUUCAACAGACUGGCCCCUGCUUCAAUGAUGACGACUUCUCAGCAGACACCACAAACAGUUUGGGCUCUGAGCCGGAAGAGUUCCAAAUAAUGGGCAUCACAUCAGCCCACAAAUACCAGUGCUGCCCAAACUCAGAAUGUCGCAACAAAAAGUUAGAAAAUGACAGUUGUCCGACAUGCAAAGGCAAGUCCUUAACAAGACAAACCUACUUCAGUGCCGCACAAGUAGUGCUAAAAAGAAGUGAUGGAUCCUAUGAAAUGAGAAAAAUGUUCCACACUGACCUAAAGCUGAUAUGUGAAAUGCCAGACUUAAACACAGAUGGGAGAAGAUCCAGCCCUAUACCAAUUUUUAACAGGAUUGCUACCAAUCAAUGCCCGUGGCCUCUUUCUCAAUGGAAAAAUAACCAUCAUGUCUACAAAACGCCAACACGAUCGUUGAACAGAUCUACUAUACUUGGAGCUUUAACCUUUACUAGUGUUCAUAGGACAGUUCUUACAAGACAAUCAUUCUUAAGUCAACCAAGUCACUCUCAAAAACAAACAUUUCAUGCUUAGGGAAUAACAAAACAGUCUCACACUAAAUUACAGCUCAUUUGUGAAUUGCCCGACUUACAAGAUAAGGCAAAAUAUCCAGCCCUGAACUUGUUCUUCACAGCAUUGUAAAUUAUCAAUGGUUGUGAACUCUUUCAUAACACAUAAAUUACUAACAUUCUGACCAAACACCAUCAUCAUAGUUCUCAUAACAUUGCCAGAACCCAUCAUUCUUAUCUUUUUAUUAACAAUACAAAACUUUAACAUUAUUGCCAUUUCCGGAUCUUAUUGCCUACUUGUAAUCAUGUUAUGUAACUGAAAUAUCAUAUGCUUUCAUUUCUCAUGUUCACUUAGCUUCAAAACAAAGAUAAACAAAGAUAAUUUCAACUUCAUCUCCCUUCUUCUGUUAUAUUUCUCUAUUACAUAAUGUCCAUUAUAGUGCAACAUCAUCUGGUUUCCUUAUUUGCUAUUACUACAUUAUUAUGUUAUUUUUUGGCUUAAGCAUGAACACUUCAGUCAUUUAAAUAAUGGUUUACAUUGCAUACAAACUAGCACACAUACAUCUGCUCAAAUCAUUCAGCAAAAAUCUUUUUCACAAACAAUUUGUUUAAACCUAUGUUUACAUUUUAAUUACCUACAUUUUCCAUCAAUUCUUUUCCAUUUACAACAAUUAUACAUUUACAGCUUGCCCUUAGUUUUUACUACACACUUCUUACUUACCUCA